AAUUGGUACAAGGUGAGCAGAGGGCUCCCUGGUGGAACAGGAGGGAUUAAAAGCAUCACCAACUAUUCACCUGUUUUUGAAGCAGUAAGCAAGGCUAAGGCCAAGGGGUUCACUGAUGUCCUAUUUCUGGAGGCAGCCACUGGGAAAAAUGUUGAGGAGGUUUCUUCAUGUCGUGUUUUCAUUGUGAAGGGUAAUGUGGUUUUAACUCCACCGACCAAUGGAACUAUUCUUCCAGGGAUCACAAGAAAAAGCAUCAUAGAAAUUGCUCUUCAUCUCAAUUUCCAGUCAUAAUUCGAACUCAUCACAAAUAUAUAUCGUGCUCGCAUUCACCCGAAGAUGAGAUAUUUUCCAAUCAAAUUAUAGCAAAGGCUAGUUGGUAUACAGUCAGGGACGGUCCUAUGACUUGUACAACUUGGGCUAUAGCCCAGGUGAGUUUUAUUUAUUUAUUUCUUAUAGUUAGUGUUAAUGUUAAUCCCAUUUAUAGCAGAAAUAUU